AUAUCAAUAAGCGGAGGAAAAGAAACUAACAAGGAUUCCCUUAGUAACGGCGAGUGAAGCGGGAAGAGCUCAAAUUUAAAAUCUCGUCGGUUUCUCCGGCGCGAAUUGUAGUUUAUGGAAGCGUUUUUUCGGCAGAUGCCUAGGUACAAGUCCUUUGGAACAGGGUAUCAUAGAGGGUGAGAAUCCCGUCUCUGACCUUGGUUUAUCUGCUAUGUGAUACGUUUUCCGAGAGUCAGGUUGUUUGGGAAUGCAGCCUAAAAUGGGUGGUAAAUUUCAUCUAAAGCUAAAUAUUGGCGAGAGACCGAUAGCGAACAAGUACCGUGAGGGAAAGAUGAAAAGAACUUUGAAAAGAGAGUUAAACAGUACGUGAAAUUGUUGAAAGGGAAGCGCUUGCAACCAGACUUGCACGCUGUCGAUCAUCCGAGGUUUUCCCCGGUGCACUCGGCGGCGUUCAGGCCAGCAUCGGUUUCAGUGGUUGGAUAAAGGCCUUGGGAAUGUGGCUCCUCCGGGAGUGUUAUAGCCCUCGGUGCAAUGCAGCCUACUGGGACCGAGGACCGCGCUUCGGCUAGGAUGCUGGCGUAAUGGUUGUAAGCGA
rnacentral:rRNA from 1 species